rnacentral:rRNA from 1 species
GGCGACUGGCUGCUGUGGUGCGGGGGAAUACGGUGGGGGGUGGCGGUGGCCGGAUUUGUUGGGCGGAAGGAGCGUGUAGGCGGCCAGGUAGGGCUGCUGUGAAAACUCGAGGCUCAACCUCGAGACGUCGGCGGAAACCAUCUGGCUAGAGUCCGGAAGAGGAGAGUGGAAUUCCUGGUGUAGCGGUGAAAUGCGCAGAUAUCAGGAAGAACACCCGUGGCGAAGGCGGCUCUCUGGGACGGUACUGACGCUGAGACGCGAAAGCGUGGGGAGCGAACAGGAUUAGAUACCCUAGUAGUC